rnacentral:rRNA from 1 species
AUUGAACGCUGGCGGCAGGCUUAACACAUGCAAGUCGAGCGGGGGAGGGUAGCUUGCUACCGGACCUAGCGGCGGACGGGUGAGUAAUGCUUAGGAAUCUGCCUAUUAGUGGGGGACAACAUCUCGAAAGGGAUGCUAAUACCGCAUACGUCCUACGGGAGAAAGCAGGGGAUCUUCGGACCUUGCGCUAAUAGAUGAGCCUAAGUCGGAUUAGCUAGUUGGUGGGGUAAAGGCCUACCAAGGCGACGAUCUGUAGCGGGUCUGAGAGGAUGAUCCGCCACACUGGGACUGAGACACGGCCCAGACUCCUACGGGAGGCAGCAGUGGGGAAUAUUGGACAAUGGGGGGAACCCUGAUCCAGCCAUGCCGCGUGUGUGGAGAAGGCCUUAUGGUUGUAAAGCACUUUAAGCGAGGAGGAGGCUACUCUAGUUAAUACCUAGGGAUAGUGGACGUUACUCGCAGAAUAAGCACCGGCUAACUCUGUGCCAGCAGCCGCAGUAA